ACACAUGCAAGUCGAACGGUAACAGGAAGAAUCUUGCUUCUUUGCUGACGAGUGGCGGACGGGUGAGUAAUGUCUGGGAAACUGCCUGAUGGAGGGGGAUGACUACUGGAAACGGUAGCUAAUACCGCAUAAUGUCGCAAGACCAAAGAGGGGGACCUUCGGGCCUCUUGCCAUCGGAUGUGCCCAGAUGGGAUUAGCUAGUAGGUGGGGUAACGGCUCACCUAGGCGACGAUCCCUAGCUGGUCUGAGAGGAUGACCAGCCACACUGGAACUGAGACACGGUCCAGACUCCUACGGGAGGCAGCAGUGGGGAAUAUUGCACAAUGGGCGCAAGCCUGAUGCAGCCAUGCCGCGUGUAUGAAGAAGGCCUUCGGGUUGUAAAGUACUUUCAGCGGGGAGGAAGGGAGUAAAGUUAAUACCUUUGCUCAUUGACGUUACCCGCAGAAGAAGCACCGGCUAACUCCGUGCCAGCAGCCGCGGUUAUACGGAGGGUGCAAGCGUUAAUCGGAAUUACUGGGCGUAAAGCGCACGCAGGCGGUUUGUUAAGUCAGAUGUGAAAUCCCCGGGCUCAACCUGGGAACUGCAUCUGAUACUGGCAAGCUUGAGUCUCGUAGAGGGGGGUAGAAUUCCAGGUGUAGCGGUGAAAUGCGUAGAGAUCUGGAGGAAUACCGGUGGCGAAGGCGGCCCCCUGGACGAAGACUGACGCUCAGGUGCGAAAGCGUGGGGAGCAAACAGGAUUAGAUACCCUGGUAGUCCACGCCGUAAACGAUGUCGACUUGGAGGUUGUGCCCUUGAGGCGUGGCUUCCGGAGCUAACGCGUUAAGUCGACCGCCUGGGGAGUACGGCCGCAAGGUUAAAACUCAAAUGAAUUGACGGGGGCCCGCACAAGCGGUGGAGCAUGUGGUUUAAUUCGAUGCAACGCGAAGAACCUUACCUGGUCUUGACAUCCACAGAACUUUCCAGAGAUGGAUUGGUGCCUUCGGGAACUGUGAGACAGGUGCUGCAUGGCUGUCGUCAGCUCGUGUUGUGAAAUGUUGGGUUAAGUCCCGCAACGAGCGCAACCCUUAUCCUUUGUUGCCAGCGGUCCGGCCGGGAACUCAAAGGAGACUGCCAGUGAUAAACUGGAGGAAGGUGGGGAUGACGUCAAGUCAUCAUGGCCCUUACGACCAGGGCUACACACGUGCUACAAUGGCGCAUACAAAGAGAAGCGACCUCGCGAGAGCAAGCGGACCUCAUAAAGUGCGUCGUAGUCCGGAUUGGAGUCUGCAACUCGACUCCAUGAAGUCGGAAUCGCUAGUAAUCGUGGAUCAGAAUGCCACGGUGAAUACGUUCCCGGGCCUUGUACACACCGCCCGUCACACCAUGGGAGUGGGUUGCAAAAGAAGUAGGUAGCUUAACCUUCGGGAGGGCGCUUACCACUUUGUGAUUCAUGACUGGGGUGAAGUCAUAA
rnacentral:rRNA from 1 species